UACGGAAGGCAGCAGUGGGGAAUAUUGCACAAUGGGCGCAAGCCUGAUGCAGCCAUGCCGCGUGUAUGAAGAAGGCCUUCGGGUUGUAAAGUACUUUCAGUCGUGAGGAAGGUGUUAAGGUUAAUAACCUUAGCAAUUGACGUUAGCGACAGAAGAAGCACCGGCUAACUCCGUGCCAGCAGCCGCGGUAAUACGGAGGGUGCGAGCGUUAAUCGGAAUUACUGGGCGUAAAGGGCACGCAGGCGGUUAAUUAAGUUGGAUGUGAAAUCCCCGGGCUUAACCUGGGAAUGGCAUUCAAGACUGGUUAGCUAGAGUCUUGUAGAGGGGGUUAGAAUUCCAUGUGUAGCGGUGAAAUGCGUAGAGAUGUGGAGGAAUACCGGUGGCGAAGGCGGCCCCUGGACAAAGGCUGACGCUCAUGUGCGAAAGCGUGGGGAGCAAACG
rnacentral:rRNA from 1 species